AUGCAUCACGCCAAGACCGACUCGGAGGUGACGUCGAGCAUGGCGCCGUCGUCGCCUUCGCGGGCGCCCUACUACGUGCAGUCGCCCAGCCACGACGACGGCGAGAACCACUCCAAGACGGCCGCCUCCUCCUUCCACUCCUCCCCGGCCGCCUCCCCGCCGCGCUCGCUCGGGAACCACUCCAGGGAGUCCUCCUCCUCGCGCUUCUCCGGCAAGGUCCCCUCCGCCGGCUCGUCCCGCCGCGGGGUCGCCGGCGGAGGCGGGAAGCGCGGCGGGGGUGGCGGCGGCGGCGAGGCGGCGCGCCGCAGCCCCUGGAUGAAGGAGGCGGCCAUCGAGGAGGAGGGGCUCCUCAUGGAGGACGACGACGACGCCGACGGCCGCGCCGGCGGCUUCUCGGCGCUCCCCAAGAAGGUGCGCUACGGGCUGGCCUUCGUCGGCGCCUUCCUCGUGCUCUUCACCUUCUUCGCCCUCAUCCUCUGGGGCGCCAGCCGCAACCAGAAGCCCGUCGUCUCCGUCAACAGCGUCACGUUCCACAGCUUCGUGAUCCAGGCGGGGACGGACGCGUCGCUGGUGCCCACGGAGAUGUCCACGAUCAACGCCACGGUGAGGCUCACGUUCCGCAACACGGGGAGCUUCUUCGGCGUGCACGUCACGGCGCAGCCCGUCACGCUCUACUACUCCCAGCUCCUCAUGGCAUCCGGCGACAUGAAGUACUUCUACCAGCCUCGGAAGAGCCAGCGCAAGGUGGCGGUGACGGUGGUGGGCAACAAGGUGCCGCUGUACGGCGGCGGCGCGGGGCUGAGCAGCACGCCGGGGCCCAAGGGCGUGCCCCCGCCGCCGGUGCCGCUGCAGCUGACGCUGAGGAUCAGGGCGCGGGCGCUGGUGCUGGGCAAGCUGGUGAAGCCCAGGUUCUACAACAACGUGCAGUGCAGCGUCCGCCUGGACACGACCAAGCUGGGCAAGGCCAUCUCCCUCAAGAAAUCAUGCACCCACGUCUAG
rnacentral:rRNA from 1 species